AGGCAGCAGUGGGGAAUAUUGCACAAUGGGCGCAAGCCUGAUGCAGCCAUGCCGCGUGUAUGAAGAAGGCCUUCGGGUUGUAAAGUACUUUCAGCAGUGAGGAAGGUGGGUAUGUUAAUAGCAUAUUCAUUUGACGUUAGCUGCAGAAGAAGCACCGGCUAACUCCGUGCCAGCAGCCGCGGUAAUACGGAGGGUGCGAGCGUUAAUCGGAAUUACUGGGCGUAAAGCGCAUGCAGGUGGUUUGUUAAGUCAGAUGUGAAAGCCCGGGGCUCAACCUCGGAAUUGCAUUUGAAACUGGCAAACUAGAGUACUGUAGAGGGGGUAGAAUUUCAGGUGUAGCGGUGAAAAUGCGUAGAGAUCUGAAGGAAUACCGGUGGCGAAGGCGGCCCCCUGGACAGAUACUGACACUCAGAUGCGAAAGCGUGGGGAGCAAACAGGAUUAGAUACCCCGGUAG
rnacentral:rRNA from 1 species